rnacentral:rRNA from 1 species
CCUACGGGUGGCUGCAGUGAGGAAUUUUCCGCAAUGGGCGCAAGCCUGACGGAGUAAUACCGCGUGAGGGAAGACGGUCUUUGGAUUGUAAACCUCUUUUAUUGGGGAAGAAAUUUUGACGGUACCCAAUGAAUCAGCCUCGGCUAACUCCGUGCCAGCAGCCGCGGUAAUACGGAGGAGGCAAGCGUUAUCCGGAAUUAUUGGGCGUAAAGCGUCCGCAGGUGGUUGAGUGUGUCUGUUGUUAAAGCCCAGGGCUUAACCCUGGUUCAGCGGUG